AACGAACGCUGGCGGCAGGCUUAACACAUGCAAGUCGAGCGAGACCUUCGGGUCUAGCGGCGGACGGGUGAGUAACGCGUGGGAACGUGCCCUUCUCUACGGAAUAGCCCCGGGAAACUGGGAGUAAUACCGUAUACGCCCUUUGUGGGAAAGGUUUAUCGGAGAAGGAUCGGCCCGCGUUGGAUUAGGUAGUUGGUGGGGUAAUGGCCCACCAAGCCGACGAUCCAUAGCUGGUUUGAGAGGAUGAUCAGCCACACUGGGACUGAGACACGGACCAGACUCCUACGGGAGGCAGCAGUGGGGAAUCUUAGACAAUGGGGGCAACCCUGAUCUAGCCAUGCCGCGUGAGUGAUGAAGGCCUUAGGGUUGUAAAGAUCUUUCAGCUGGGAAGAUAAUGACGGUACCAGCAGAAGAAGCCCCGGCUAACUCCGUG
rnacentral:rRNA from 1 species